AACUUAUAUAUCGUUUCUUCAUUAACUGUGAAAAUUAUCAAAAGACUUUAAAUAAGUCAUUGUCGAAAACGCGAUGAAAAAAUUCGCACGCAUGGCGAAGUUCUGAGUUGUUAAACUUGCGCAUUCUCACCUGUUGAAAAAAUCAAUAACUCGGUCAAGUGCGACCUCCGGUUUUCAUGGAAACCCUACUGUGACGUCACGUUAGUGAGACAUAGCUGGAGCAUCAAGCGACUCCGAAGACUCCAGGUUUUCGGUAUCACUUUCAUGUUAAUCCUUGAGCUUUGAUGAAGAUUUUGACAAUUGUUUAGAGACACUUGCAGUGGCUCCGUAUCAGUUUGAACCGUAUUUAGACCCUGACACAGAACAUCCAACUCAACAAAGUCAGGAUGAUCAUGAUGAUGGGAAUCCCGAUAAUAGUCGGCUUAACAACACUGAUUGGUGCAGCUGUGGACAUUGUAUACAGAUGCCUUUAGCAAAGGAAUGUGUCUGCUGCAAAGAAACAAAGGUCCUCUUAGAUCUUAUGAAAAAUGAUGGUGUUCAGUGUAUAACAGACCACCCAGGAUUUGAACCAGUGUGCUUGAAUACAUAUGUACUGGACACAGCAUACAAGCAAUAUAAGCAACAGUACAAUCAUCAAAUUCAGAAUCUUCCAGAGCGAUACAGGUACACUGCCUAAAGAUAGCUUGUGAGAUGGGCCUAGGAAAGCAUGUAAGAGUGGUUUUGCCAUCAUGUGCUCUCAAGAAAAUCAGAGGCAGAUUCCCAUCUCCACACGAGGACUA